UACCAGCACCCCGAGUGGUCGGGACGAUUAUUGGGCCUAAAGCAUCCGUAGCCGGCCUUACAAGUCCUCCGUUAAAUCCAGCUGCUUAACAGAUGGGCUGCGGAGGAUACUAUAAGACUAGGAGGCAGGAGAGGCAAGCGGUACUCAGUGGGUAGGGGUAAAAUCCGUUGAUCCAUUGAAGACCACCAGUGGCGAAGGCGGCUUGCCAGAAUGCGCUCGACGGUGAGGGAUGAAAGCUGGGGGACGCAAACAGG
rnacentral:rRNA from 1 species